rnacentral:sRNA from 1 species
UGCGGGAUGCCGAAGUCGGGUCCCGCACCCGUAGAACCCUUGCUGAUCUAUUCAGGAGAACACUAUGAGC